rnacentral:tRNA from 1 species
CAUUAGAAAGCUAAUAGGGAUUAGCGUUAGCCUUUUAAGCUAAAGAUUGGUGCCCCCCAACCACCUCUAAUGA